rfam:Picea glauca, whole genome shotgun sequence.
AAGAAUAUAUAUAUCAACGUUGAUGCACCAGAUCCCAUCAAAACUCCGCAGUUAAGCAUGCUUGGGCUAGAGUAGUACUAGGAUAGGUGACCUCCCGGUAAGUCCUAGUGUUGCACCCU